rnacentral:lncRNA from 1 species
CCUUGACCUGCUUAGGUGGAACUGGGGCCAAUAAUUAAAAAUGAAAAUGCCAAAUUCUUUUGUUAUUUAAAAUAUAUUUUUGUACGCCAUAGAGGUAGAAAUCAGGCUCACGUGCAGACCCAUUUUCCUAUAUUUCUUUUCCUAAACCCUAUUUUCCACAACAGUUGUAUUCUUCCUCCAGAGCACCUCAGUAGGUUCCAUAGCGCCGCACCUAAUCUCAAAUCGUUUGUUCAACGCCGACAACGCUGCGUUAGUAGCUGCACUAGAAGGAUCCAACCUCUCCAUUCGUCAUACAUCUACAUAAAGUAAGUUCGAAUAAUGCUGAGAUUUUUUUCGUUUUUUCUUUUCCCUAUUUUGAUUCGAAGUUUCCAUUUUUUUUUCCUUUUCCUGUUUCAGUCGUCAUAUGCUUGUUUAAUGAUGAAGUCUUGAGAUUUUUAUUUUUUAUUUUUUCCCGUUUCCUUAAAUUUUGAUUUUUUUUUCCUAAAGAAUUUGUCGACUUUUGGAUGGAUCUGCUUUUAAAGUUUUGACUAGGAUUUUUUGUGAUAGUAUAGAAUUGCAAGUGUGAUUAUGCAAAUAGUGUAGUUUCAGUUUUCUGAUUUACAUGUAUGAAAAAAUUAAUGUGCUUAGAGUAUGUUGUUCUGCCAAUUUAUAUCAACUAUCGACCUUCCCCAUCCCAAGCAGUGAAACUAUUGGUAAUUAAUCAACUACAUAACUAUAUAGGUAUGUUUGCUGUAUUGAACAGAAUUGGACACAACCGUUACAGCAGAAAAGAAAAGAAGUUAAAAUCAUGAUUUAGGUAUAAGAAUGCUCUUCACUUCAAUAUUUUGGCAUGAAUUGGAUAGUGCAUUCUUGGUAAGUACAAUGUGGACCUUCCAUCCACAUCUUUUUGUCCUAUGACCGUGUCUAAUUUAUUUGUGAAAUUAUGCAUGGGGAAUUCAAGUGGUACAAUUGGACUAAAUAAUUCUACUCAAUGUUGAGGUAGCUCUUACAUGAUUUUUCAUUGUUUUUUAAAGGAGGUGAAGAAUCAUAUGACGAACGAACAAAGAAUCAUAUGACGAACGAAGGAGGUGAAGAACUAUUUGCCAUGUUUCAAUCACGAUGCUAAUAAUCUGAUCAACAAGAUGUGAAUAUUUCUUUUAAUGUGACAAUACACAAAGGAAGAGCAAAUGCGGACGGAGAUAAGAAAGGAAAGGGGCAUGAAUGUGUUGUAAUAAUUAAAUGUAAUGACCUUAUUUUACUUAUGCAUUUGAUGGAUGUCGUAGUUUCUUUGGAAUGUAGUAGUAAAGUAAUUUCGUUUUGUAAUUAUAGUUUUUGUAUUAAGACUUUAUUUCCUAUGUGUAUAUGGUAGUAGUUGCAUUCCUAUUCUAUAACACUUUGUCAUUUAAAACUAGGCUCCUUUUUUUCUAUGGUUAAACAUUUAAUCUAUCAUGCCCAAAUUUCUUUAGUACAAAGCUUUUAUUUAUUGAAUCAGGAGUCUAGAAAUGUCAGUUGUUCUUGUGAUUAAGGAAUUUGUGCAAUUGUCCAAAACAUAUGGAACGUAG